CCUUCUACCUUGAUGGUAGUUGGGAAAGUUUUUCGCUAAGGGAUCGGCCUAUGUUGUAUCAGGUAGUUGGUGAGGUAAUGGCUCACCAAGCCUAUGACACAUAGCGGGUCUGAGAGGAUGAUCCGCCACACUGGUACUGAGACACGGACCAGACUCCUACGGGAGGCAGCAGUGGGGAAUAUUGCACAAUGGACGAAAGUCUGAUGCAGCAACGCCGCGUGGAGGAUGACACAUUUCGGUGCGUAAACUCCUUUUAUAUAAGAAGAUAAUGACGGUAUUAUAUGAAUAAGCACCGGCUAACUCCGUGCCAGCAGCCGCGGUAAUACGGAGGGUGCAAGCGUUAUUCGGAAUCACUGGGCGUAAAGGGUGCGUAGGCGGUUUGGAAAGUCAGAUGUGAAAGCCUACAGCUUAACUGUAGAACUGCAUUUGAAACUUCCAGACUAGAAUACUGAAGGGGCAGAUGGAAUUAGUGGUGUAGGGGUAAAAUCCGUAGAUAUCACUAGGAAUACCGAAAGCGAAAGCGAUCUGCUGGGAAGUUAUUGACGCUGAGGCACGAAAGCGUGGGGAGCAAACGGGAUUAGAUACCCCGGUAGUCCACGCCCUAAACGAUGAAUGCUAGUCGUCGGAAAGCUCGUCUUUUCGGUGAUGCAGUUAACACAUUAAGCAUUCCGCCUGGGGGAGUACGGUCGCAAGAUUAAAACUCAAAGGAAUAGACGGGGACCCGCACAAGUGGUGGA
rnacentral:rRNA from 1 species